AAUUGGCCCUUAUACGUCAGAUGUCAGUUGAUGCUUAUGGAUAUACUCACUUUAACGACGUCGAAAACAUAUUUUGUAUAGAUAUCAAUAAUUCGGGUUAUAGAAUAACUUUAUCGUUACAGUAUCGCGACAGUUGUUGAGAAAUUAGAAAAUAAGUAUUAUGGGCUACCAUAGCAAAAGCUCAUUUCAGUAUAUUAUAGAGCAAGAUGAACGGGUGUCACUCUUUAAGGUUAUCUAGAUGAAAUUUUUAUAAUUUCUUUUUCUCAUUUUUCACAUUUUUCACAUCUAGAUAAAUUUAAAACGGGAACGUCUUUAUAUAUUAUCUAAGAUAUACUUAGACGCACAUGUAAAUCACAUAAUCCUUACACUACUGCACAUGAAGAAAUCCUUUUGACGUGACGCAAAGCUCUUGAAAUUCCACUAAAUCCUGUAUUUACAAUAGUUGCUAAUAUGAUUGCAUAUACACAAAGAAACAAAUUAUUAUAUUAAUGUAAUAAAUACGUAGUAUUAUAAAAAAAGAAAGAGAGAGUGUGUGUGUGAAAAACUAUUAGGACAGAAAGAUGCCGGCGAUGCUAGUUGGACCACCUCAACGCAACGAGCAAAUGUGGCAAGCAUUAAAAACUCAUAUUAUGAGAGAACGACAACGAAAGAAACAAGAGCAAGAAGCUGAUGCAGAGAAGGAAAGAGAGCGACAACAGAAGCAAGAUGUGAUGACAUUAGGCGAAACGCGGGAACAAAUCUCUACCUUGGAAAAUGAGUUAGCCCAAUUGAAAGAUGAGAAACAUCAGUUGUUUUUACAGUUGAAAAAGGUUCUAAAUGAGGAUGACAGAAGACGACAACUUAUAAAAGAAACCAGUGUUUCUUCAGAAGUCUUGACAACAGUAGGAGGAUAUCCAGCAACAGGUCCAAGAGUCGUACAUCCUCAAUUGUUUUUGCCAAUAGCACGAAGCAGCAGUCCUCUUUACAAAGUUGCGGUUGGUGCUCCAACGCAUCUGUUACCAAGUAGUACCUUGAAAAGAACCCACAGUCCAUCGCCGCCACCUACUGCAUCUCCAUAUCAUAGUGUAUAUGGAUACAAACCGCCACCAUCCAUUCCAAAUUACAAUCCCCCACCUCCUAAAUCUGAGGAAGCUGCUAGACGAUCCAGUGAUUCUCGGGCAGUUCUUUGGAACAAAAAUAAUCAGUAUUCCACAUCGAAUUUUUAUUCGACGCCCACAGGACAGAGUGUUUACAGUUAUUCCACACCUGUGUCACAACCGUCCCGAGAAUCCUCGGAGUCGGCUAAACCUAUUUAUCUUUCGGGAGGUAGAGCACCAUUAGCUACACACCAGACUGCAUAUGUAACUAAUUUACACUCGAUGGAGCAUAAAGGCGCUUACGGUGAGGAUAAGUUUUACCUGCGACCGACAAAUCACGUUACCGUCCAUGGUGGAGCUAUUCCGAUUCAACAACCACCUCAGGGCGCAAAAACGGGCGGAAUUACUUCGGGUUAUCCUGUACGAGCACCUCAACCACCCCCUGGUCCAUACCCGCCGCCACCUCCACCGUCUCCUGGUACUUAUGUUAGCGGCGCGGCCGCUAACGUACCUGGUAGACUAUUAUAUACGCAACCUGGAGCUCGUUAUCUUCAACGAGAAAUAUAACCUAUUCAGUGAAAGAAAUUUAAGAAUUGGAUAAAGCAAUGGAAUCACUAAUGAGACGGGGGGGUUUGGAGAGGGAGAGAGGGAGGAAGAGGAGAGAGAGGGGGGAGAGAGAGUGAAUACCUCUUUGAAUAUAAAAUAUCUAUCUUAUAUAAUUAUGUUAUGAAAUAUAAUUUUAUCAUUUUAUAAAUGCAUGGAUACAAACCUACACUAUAUACAUAUGUAAUACAACAAUAUCAAAAAUGCUUACAUAUUUAUAUGUUUAUAUAUAUUAGUAAAUUAAUUUCUGAAAACGUUAAAGUAUAAAGAAUAACAUAAAAUAAUAAUAAUGUGCUCAAUUGUGAACCAAAAAUAAAAAGAAAAUAUAUUGUAAGAAACGACAAUUGUCUCUUUUUAUAAUAAUACAAUCACAAUAAGUUUUUAGAAAUAUAAUGACUAAUAUUUUAUUUAUUAGUUAUGUACAUGAACUCUUUGGUUUCAUAUGUAUAAUGUCAAAUAAACUAAACACUCAAAUAAAAAAUAAAAUAUACAUGUGCAUAGAAGUACACCUUAUAAAA